CAUUCUGGGGAAUGUGGUUCGCUGUGGCCCAGAGGCGCGAGGGCCGGCGGAGUUUCUUCAGAGGAACUACAGCCCUGGGAGGAAUCGUCUAUUUAGUUUCAACACAGACGACUGGGCUUGGGAGCCUACGGGGUUGCAGUCUGGAGGGCGCCAACAGCAGCUGCCAGGGCUGCUUUUCCUGAACACGCUGCAAGCACGUCAAGGUAGUCGGAGACCCCUAACAAUGGAUAAAUUCGUCAUUCGAACGCCUAGAAUCCAGAAUAGCCCUCAGAAGAAAGAUUCUGGAGGAAAGGUUUACAAGCAGGCCACGAUUGAAUCUCUGAAGAGAGUUGUGGUUGUAGAAGACAUAAAAAGAUGGAAAACUAUGCUGGAACUUCCUGAUCAAACCAAAGAGAAUCUCACUGAAGCCUUACAAGAAUUAAAGAAGAAAAUACCCUCCAGGGAAGUGCUAAAAUCAACAAAGAUAGGUCACACUGUGAACAAGAUGCGUAAACACUCAGAUUCAGAAGUGGCUUCUCUUGCCAGAGAAGUUUACACUGAGUGGAAAACUUUCAUUGAAAAACAUUCAAAUAGACCUUCUAUUGAAGUUAGAAGUGAUCCCAAAACCGAAUCGUUUAGGAAAAAUGCCCAGAAAUUACUCUCAGAAGCCUUGGAAUUAAAGAUGGAUCACCUACUGGUUGAAAAUAUUGAGCGGGAAACGUUUCAUCUCUGCUCCCGCCUCAUUAAUGGGCCGUACCGGCGGACGGUGAGAGCCCUGGUCUUCACAUUAAAGCACCGAGCUGAAAUCCGGGCUCAGGUGAAGAACGGCUCGCUGCCAGUCGGCACGUUUGUACAGACCCACAAAAAGUGACCUGAGGACGGUUCCAGCCCUGGGCCAGGCAGAGAAGAAAAUGGGCCUCUCUCUGCCGUUCAAAGACGCUUUUGAGUUUGGGUGAUGGCUGAUGCUGGCUGUGCUGGAUUUUCCCAUGGUGCCAUUCCUUUGCAGACAGAGGAUUCGGAGAGCCCUAGGAGACAGGCCUGCAGGAAUGUGCUUCAUUAACUGGAGUGCGCUGGUGCUGCCUAACAGAACGCACACUGGCUGUCACUAGGAAGCGCCAUACGGUUGCUAUCACCCAACAUGGUGAAAGGGUGAUGGAUUUCACUAACUCUUCCUGGGAGCAGCGACCUUGUCCGUCUCUCCUUCACUGGACCUCCCCAGUGCCUGGCACAGGGCUUGGCCCCGAGCAGGGCUCCAUGCAUAUGUGCUCAUGAACGGAUGGCACCGUCCCCCCCAUGCCUCCAGGCUGGCCUCUGAUAGUCCACGCAGCCGAGCAGACAGUCUGGGCUCCAUGGGAAAAGCUAAUCCCAAGCGUGUGGACCGACAGAUGGUGUGGAGCCCAGAGCUGAGGUGCAGCUUUUAUUAGUCUGAGUUGCUUUUGCUUGGAAUAGGAUUAGCAUAAGUACCAUCCCAGGCAAGUGGAUAAGGUAAGGCUCUGUUAGUUACAUUCAGAUUUUGUUUCUCGGCCACAAUCCUGGGCCAGACUUCUGCUGGGUCAGUCCAAUUCAUGCCUAAGGGUGCUACUCAAUAAGGUCAACUGGAGUGGCCAGUCCCCUCUCCACAUUGACCUCUACAGUGGCCUGUCCACCUCCUAAGUCCAACCUUCCCACACCAGGCAGAAAGCUUUUUACUGGCUCCAUUGCCCCCGGGUGAGGCCUGAACACUUUGUGAUGAUGAAGAUGAAGAUAUGAUGAUGGUAGCUAUCACACAGCUCUCCCAUGUAACCCUCACGACAACCCUGCAAGGCAGACAGCAUCACCAUCCUCAUUUGGCAAAUGAAAAGCUGAUGGCUCAGAGAGGUUAAAUGACUUGCCCAAGGUGACUCAGCCAGUAGGCCACAGACAGGCUCCAAAUCCCAGUCUGGACCGAUUGGACGGGCAUUCCCGGGUGGGCCAGCCUCCCUCUCUGGCAAGGCUGUCAUGCUCCCCCAGUGCUCUGGCUUCAGUUUUGGCUGGAUCAGUGAGGAGCCAAGUCAAAGAUCAAGUCAGAGAAACUCAUGUUGUCUGGCUAAGAAGUAUCACUUCCCAUAGUCACUUUCUCUUCAGCUCCAUUAAGGAGGUAUCACUUUCUCUUCAGCUCCAUUAAGGAGUAUUUAACUUUUGGAAGGAGUCAUUUUCCACAAAGAAACAGUUCUUCAAAAUCACUGAGGGUCGGGCUCAGUGGCUCACACCUGUAUUCCCAGCACUUCAGGAGGCCAAGAUGGGCAGAUCACUUGAGCUUAAGAGUUCAAGACCAGCCUGGGCAACAUGGCAAAACCCC